GUGUCAGCCGCCGCGGUAAUACAGAGGUCCCAAGCGUUGUUCGGAUUCACUGGGCGUAAAGGGUGCGUAGGUGGUCGGGUAAGUUUGAUGUGAAAUCUCCGGGCUUAACCCGGAAACUGCAUUGAAUACUAUUCGGCUGGAGGGUUGGAGGGGGGACUGGAAUUCUCGGUGUAGCAGUGAAAUGCGUAGAUAUCGAGAGGAACACCAGUGGCGAAGGCGAGUCCCUGGACAACUCCUGACACUAAGGCACGAAAGCUAGGGGAGCAAACAGGAUUAGAUACCCCCGUAGUCC
rnacentral:rRNA from 1 species